rnacentral:rRNA from 1 species
UCAAGCUAUAAAGAGCAUAGGGUGGAUGCCUUGGCACCAAGAGCCGAAGAAGGACGUGGUCAGCUGCGAUAAGCCAUGGUCAGCCGCAAGCAGGCAAUGACCCAUGGAUUUCCGAAUGCGGAAACGCGGCACGUUAACAGCGUGUCAUCAUGUCAUGAAUAAAUAGUGACAUGAGGGGAACCCGGUGAACUGAAACAUCUAAGUAGCCGGAGGAAGAGAAAGAAACAUCGAUUUCCUUAGUAGCGGCGAGCGAAAGGGAAAGAGCCCAAACCGAGGGUCUACGGACGUUCGGGGUUCGGACUUGCAAAAAUCGAAGUACUUAUAGACGAAGAGGUUUGGAACUUCCUACCAAAGAGGGUAACAGUCCCGUAGUCGAAAUGAGUACAAGAGGGCGAGAAUCCAGAGUACCACAGGACACGAGUAAUCCGGUGGGAAGACGGGGGGCCCACCCCCCAAGGCUAAAUACUACUUGGUGACCGAUAGCGUAUAGUACCGUGAGGGAAAGGUGAAAAGAACCCCGGGAGGGGAGUGAAAGAGAACCUGAAACCCUAUGUUUACAAGCAGUGGGAGCGAGAGCGACCAUGUACUUUUUGUAGAACGGGCCGGCGAGUUACUGUGUGCAGCGAGGUUAAGUUGUUAAGCAACGGAGCCGAAGGGAUACCGAGUCUGAAAAGGGCGUAAAGUUGCAUGCAGUACACCCGAAACCGGGUGACCUAUCCAUGGACAGGAUGAAGCGACGGUAAGACGUCGUGGAGGUCCGAACCACACGUACGUGAAAAGUGCGGGGAUGAGCUGUGGAUAGCGGAGAAAUUCCAAUCGAACUCGGAGAUAGCUGGUUCUCCCCGAAAUAGCUUUAGGGCUAGCCUCGAUUUAGAUUACCGGGGGUAGAGCACUGAAUGGGCUAGGGGGCCACAAAGCUUACCGAACCCUAUCAAACUUCGAAUACCGGAUAAUUGAUGAUCGGGAGUCAGACAGUGUGAGAUAAGUUUCAUUGUCGAAAGGGAAACAGCCCAGAUCUACGACUAAGGUCCCAAAGUUCAAGUUAAGUGGAAAAGGAUGUGCAAUUGCGCAGACAACCAGGAUGUUGGCUUAGUAGCAGCCAUUCAUUCAAAGAGUGCGUAAUAGCUCACUGGUCGAGUGAUUGUGCGCCGAAAAUGUAACGGGGCUAAACUUGACACCGAAGUCUAGGCAGAAGGAAACUUCUGGGUAGGGGAGCAACGUGUACGGGCAGAAGCAGAAGCGGAAGCGACUGUGGACUGUACAGGAGAGAGAAUGCCGGCAUGAGUAGCGAGAGCAAAGUGAGAAUCUUUGCCGUCGAAAGCCUAAGGUUUCCUGAGGAAGGCUCGUCCUCUCAGGGUAAGUCGGGACCUAAGCCGAGGACAAUAGUCGUAGGCGAUGGACAAUCGGUUAAUAUUCCGAUACCGCCGAGCAACCGGAUGCAGUGACACAGAAGGAUAGGCAGAGCGUGGCGAUGGUAGACCACGUCCAAGCAGUGAGGCUGUUGUGUAGUGAAGUACGCACAACGUAAGGCUGGGCUGUGAUGGGGAACGAUUACGAUCGGUAAGCUGCUGAAUUCACGCUGGCGAGAAAAGCUGCUACGAAGCGAAGGCGCCCGUACCGCAAACCGACACAGGUAGGCGAGGAGAGAAUCCUAAGACGAGCGGGAGAACCCUUGUUAAGGAACUCGGCAAAAUGACUCCGUAACUUAGGGAGAAGGAGUGCCCAGGAAUGGGCCGCAGAGAAUAGACCCAAGCGACUGUUUACCAAAAACACAGGUCUGUGCGAAGUAGAGAUACGACGUAUACGGGCUGACACCUGCCCAGUGCCGGAAGGUUAAGGGGAAAUGUUAGGGCAACCGAAGCAUGGAACUUAAGCCCCGGUGAACGGCGGCCGUAACUAUAACGGUCCUAAGGUAGCGAAAUUCCUUGUCGGGUAAGUUCCGACCCGCACGAAAGGCGU